rnacentral:lncRNA from 1 species
AUAUAUUAAAGCAGCAGCCGGCAUACACAGUGAGCACUCCUUCUCUUGCUCAGCAGCAUGUGGUGUUUUAUAAUAACAGCUGUGUUUGCACUAUGCUUUGGCAUGGCUGAAGCUGUUUCCUUUGAAGAUCUCGUGGAAUUCAUGAACAAUACCCCUCCCGCAAGAACGUACGUGUACGCAAGUAGUUACCUGAUAUAUAAAUUUGAGUAUCCUGUAACGUGCAUUUAUUAUGAGGUAGACGAGCUGUCCACUGAUCGAGUUAAGCUUGAGCUCUCUUACAAGGUGGACG